rnacentral:lncRNA from 1 species
GCAUGAACAAAAGAGAAGAUCGAUCUCCUCUCGGGUGAGCGACCUAGAACUGUCCUAGAAUUUUGGGUGAAAGAAAAAUUAUAAAGAAGAGAGUCUUCAACAGAGUUUUCUCCACUAUCCAGCAUCUUUCUUUGCUCCAUCUUUAAUAUCAAAAAGAUUUGAGGUAAUCAAAGAAGAAGAUCAAAUCAGAUCUACCAUCAGAAACUGACUACGUG